CUUGCACGUAUAUGCCCAGAUGGCCUGAAGUAACUGAAGAAUCACAAAAGAAGUGAAAAUGCCCUGCCCCACCUUAACUGAUGACAUUCCACCACAAAAGAAGUGAAUAUGCCCUGCCCCACCUUAACUGAUGACAUUCCACCACAAAAGAAGUGUAAAUGGCCGGUCCUUGCCUUAAGUGAUGACAUUACCUUGUGAAAGUCCUUUUCCUGGCUCAUCCUGGCUCAAAAAGCACCUCCACUGGGCACCUUGUGACCCCCACUCCUGCCCGCCAGAGAACAAACCCUCUUUGACUGUAAUUUUCCUUUACCUACCCAAAUCAUAUAAAACGGCCCCACCCUUAUCUCCCUUCGCUGACUCUCUUUUCAGACUCAGCCCGCCUGCACCCAGGUGAAAUAAACA
rnacentral:lncRNA from 1 species